GAUGAACGCUAGCGGCAGGCUUAAUACACGCAAGUCGAGGGACAGCACAGGUAGCAAUACUGGGUGGUAACCGGCAAACGGGUGCGGAACACGUACACAACCUUCCUUUAAGUGGGGGAUAGCCCAGAGAACUUUGGAUUAAUACCCCGUAAUAUAGUUGUAUGGCAUCAUUUGAUUAUUAUAGCUACGGCGCUUAAUGAUGGGUGUGCGGCUGAUUAGAUAGUUGGCGGGGUAACGGCCCACCAAGUCUACGAUCAGUAGCUGAUGUGAGAGCAUGAUCAGCCACACGGGCACUGAGACACGGGCCCGACUCCGACGGGAGGCAGCAGUAAGGAAUAUUGGUCAAUGAACGCAAGUCUGAACCAGCCAUGCCGCGUGAAGGAUUAAGGUCCUCUGGAUUGUAAACUUCUUUUAUUUGGGACGAAAAAGGGCAUUUCUAGGUCAACUGACGGUACCAGAUGAAUAAGCACCGGCUAACUCCGUGCCAGCCGCCGCGGUAAAAC
rnacentral:rRNA from 1 species